GGGGGCGAAACGGCUUCGACGGGGGUAAAGAAGCAUAGGUUGCAUACCGAGCACCUGCCAGCUCGUAAAAAGGGUGGGACCUAAAAUAAUCGCAGAUGAUUAUAACUACGCCUUAGCCGCUUAAUGCGGCUAACGUCCUUCCGGAUUUUUCCUGCGAGUCCGGAAAGGGCGUCGACAAGCAGGAUAGCCUCUAUCGGUUGCUUGUUACGCAUGAGGCAAAAUUCAAAACAAGCUAGCCCCUUAAGCAUCCGGCCUGAAGGAGCCUUGAGGAGCGAAUAUUAAAUCUCAGGCUACGUAUGUAGAAGCCUAUGUAGACUAUCACCGGACGCGGGUUCGACUCCCGCCGCCUCCACCA
rnacentral:tmRNA from 1 species